rnacentral:piRNA from 1 species
UAUUACUCAUGUUAGAGCCCAUUCAGGC